AUUGAACGCUGGCGGAAUGCUUUACACAUGCAAGUCGAACGGCAGCACGGACUUCGGUCUGGUGGCGAGUGGCGAACGGGUGAGUAAUGUAUCGGAACGUGCCCAGUCGUGGGGGAUAACGUAGUGAAAAUUACGCUAAUACCGCAUACGAUCUAUGGAUGAAAGCGGGGGAUCGCAAGACCUCGCGCGAUUGGAGCGGCCGAUAUCAGAUUGUGUAGUUGGUGGGGUAAAGGCCCACAAAGCCAACGAUCUGUAGCUGGUCUGAGAGGACGACCGGCUGCACUGGAACUGAGACACGGUCCAGACUGCUACGGGAGGCAGCAGUGGGGAAUUUUGGACGAUGGGCGAAAGCCUGAUCCAGCCAUUCCGCGUGCAGGAUGAAGGCCCUCGGGUUGUAAACUGCUUUUGUACAGAAAGAAAAGGUUUCUACUAAUACUAGGAGCUCAUGACGGUACUGUAAGCAUAAGCACCGGCUAACUACGUGCCAGCCGCCGCCGUAA
rnacentral:rRNA from 1 species